AGUGAACGCUGGCGGUAGGCCUAACACAUGCAAGUCGAACGGCAGCACAGUAAGAGCUUGCUCUUACGGGUGGCGAGUGGCGGACGGGUGAGGAAUACAUCGGAAUCUACUUUUUCGUGGGGGAUAACGUAGGGAAACUUACGCUAAUACCGCAUACGACCUACGGGUGAAAGCAGGGGAUCUUCGGACCUUGCGCGAUUGAAUGAGCCGAUGUCGGAUUAGCUAGUUGGCGGGGUAAAGGCCCACCAAGGCGACGAUCAGUAGCUGGUCUGAGAGGAUGAUCAGCCACACUGGAACGGAGACACGGUCCAGACUCCUACGGGAGGCAGCAGUGGGGAAUAUUGGACAAUGGGCGCAAGCCUGAUCCAGCCAUACCGCGUGGGUGAAGAAGGCCUUCGGGUUGUAAAGCCCUUUUGUUGGGAAAGAAAAGCAGCAGGUUAAUACCCCGCUGUUCUGACGGUACCCAAAGAAUAAGCACCGGCUAACUUCGUG
rnacentral:rRNA from 1 species